GGAGACAUAGCGCAACGGGAGCGCAUUCGCCUCACACGCGAGAGGUUGAGGGUUCGAAUCCCCCUGUCUCCA
rnacentral:tRNA from 1 species